GCCUCAGCUCACAGAAAGGGGACAGAGCGGUGGCUGCUCCACAGAAGGCCGGCUCCCUGCCCUCCUCACGGCCAGACGGCAGGGCAGGGAGCCGCGGUCAGGGCGCAGGCAAAGCCCCACCACCCUCGUCUCCUGAGCCCAAGGAGGCUGAGGAAUGAUUUACCGGGUUGGCUCAGCCCUCCAGCUUCCCUCUUCUUGGAGCCAGCCCGCCCAGUGUUCUGACCUGCUGCCUGCACCCAAGGGGAAGGACUGUGCUUCUCCAGUACUGCCUGUGCCCAGACAGACAACUACAUCUAACGCUGGGUGAAGUGGGAGCAAGACCAAUGCUGCUUUCUCGGAUCUGCUCUAAAAGCAAUACACGUGAUAUCUUAUCUCCAAUUCUUGGAUCCUGCAGCUACCUUUCAAUUUAUCCUGAAUUUGGGAAGGGGAGUGAAAAAAUAAUCAUUCCUUCCCGUAAAAUUAAAUUCCACAGGAGUGGAAUUAGUCUGGCAUUCAAUGGGCCUAGGAAACUAGGGUAUAGGGAGGAGGGGCAUGGCUUUGAAAUUGGCCCAGGUCUAAAUUUUGGCUAUGAAUUUGACCAGGGAUCAACCACCCUGGGCUCAGCUUCCUCGUCUGAAACAUACCACCUGUCAGGACUCUUGGCUGUAAAUGAAAGCUCCUCUGGCUAAACUGAAAAGGAAUUUGUUAAAGGAGGUGAGGCAGUUUCCCUCUGUCCCCUGCAGGUCCCCCAAUCUCGGAGUCGGCUGGAGAAAAGGCUUAGCGCUUCCCUAUCGGGACGAAGCCCACACCCAACCUCGGGCCAGCCCUGGGCACCCAGAGUGGCCUCUAUUCCUGGCGCAGGCAGUGCCCUCGGGCACCUGCUCCUGCCUUGUGCAGCAGCGCUUGGAGAGCGGCACACAGCGAGCUCUGAUUGGCAGAGCUGAAGCCACGUGAUGCGCCCCCGCACGGCAUGCUGGGAAAGAACUUGGAUUCCGCCUUAGGCAUGGCAGCGUUGGGGUCUGAUGCUGAGGUUCCUCAACGCAGGAGCAGGUUCCGCCUGCUGCUGUUCCAAGGCUCCCAGGUCCCCUAAGGUCGUGCCCUCCUCCCCAACCAAGGCACUCUCCAGGGGAGGUGACAAAGGUGGCAGUGGAGGAGGUGGAGGAGGAGAAACACC